UAUUCGAAAGGAGACCGACUUGCUAUCCUGAGAAGAGCAGCGUCCAGCCUACAGGUUUUGGUUCUCCGAAGAGGGCGUGGGUUUCUCCGGGUGCGGGCUGAGCCUCCCUGGGGUGUGGGGAGACGAAGAGAUCCCUGGCCCAAGUCGCCUCGUUCCCGCUCUGAGACUUGGUCCUUUGCUGACUGGAGAGGGAGAGAGACUUGGGGCCCUCCUGGCCCCAGGCAUGGUGAUGUCCUGCUCCAGGGUGGCCUGGACCUCCUUUCCAUCUCUUCCUCUGGUGACUGAGCUCAUAUUAAGUGUCUGAAGAAGACAUUUUCUGAAGAUGUGUGUCAUAAUGGCUGCUGAAGCUUCUAUUCCAGAUCUGAAGAGCAAGCAGUGCUCAGGAGGCCCCCCAACACUUGCAUCUCUGUUGGACACAAAUGUGGCAGUUUCUUACUGCACUUCUGAAAUAGUCCAGUAGAAUGAACAGUAAGGCAUUGGCUAAAUGACAAAGGGAGUCAUCAAAUCUGCAUCCCUAUUACUACAACAUCAGUGGAGCACAGAACCUUCUUUGUUUAACAUCAGAGAAGGGUGUGGAUGCUAUACAGAACCAGGAACUCAUAGAGAGGAAGCAAGUGUGGUGUGGAGUCUACUAGACAGGCUACUGGAAAAGAGUGGACUGACCACAAGGAUACUAUAGACCUUUCCUAGUGGAAGUGUCAUCUCAGAUGAUCUUUAAACUUACACAUUCUGAAGCCAUUACAUGGAGUUAUCAGAUGUAGCAAAUAAAAAUACAGGAUGCUAAGGUAAGUUUGAAUUUAGAAACAAACAUAAAAUUUUAUUGAAUGCCAAAUAAUUAUACUAAAAUGAUUUGUUGUUUAUCUGCAAUUCAUUUCGAAUAGGUGUAUUUUAUCUGGCAGGCUUGCACAAGGGGAGCUUGUAGGGUGGAACCAAGGUGCUCCUGUCAACAACCCCAGCUGACCUCCCAAGAAAUGACAUCAGCACUCAUGAUUCAUGGAAGUGAGCUCUCUCAGAUGUUCCAGAUGAGUGGAGCUCCAGAUGACAGAGAUGACAACACCAUGGGGAGAGUUAGCCUUAAAUGACAGAUACUACAUAGAGGAAAAAAAUACCUACUCAUCCUUGUCAAUACACAGACACCAGAAUGAUAAUAAAUGGGUAUUGCUUGAGAAUUUUAAGCAAAAAUGGAAAUCACUCCUGUGGUCUAAG
rnacentral:lncRNA from 1 species